GUAUUUAAAACAUAAACUAUCCUGAAUUACCAAACUUGGACAGAGGACAAUUAAAUGAUUGUAUUGAGAGGAAUAUUUUUAUUAAUUUUUUCCUGCAUUUUUGUUGUGCCUGCGAUUAAUAGCAAAAGUAGGCGAGACACUGGGUUCUGCGAAACCCUUACAAAUGUUUUGUACUAAAAAUAUUUCUUUUUUACAAGUGUUCUUUUUUAAAUAUCAGAUAUGAACUAGCUAAAAUUGACUAUUAUUUAGAGUUAAGUAAAUAAAAAAAUAUGUAAACUUAGCUCUAGAUAAUAGAUUUUGUGGGUGGGAGAAAAAAUGUUAUUUCAAUUGAUUUGGGGAUUUUUUUUUAAAACAGGAUUUCUUAAAAGUGCAUCUGAUAUUUUUUAUAUAUAAUAUUAUUAUUUUAAAAAGCAAAUGUUCAAUAAGAUAACGAGGAAAGUCACCUUGGCAGUUAGGAGAGCAGCUCUAAGGAAGAUGGCCAAUUAAAUCUUCAACCAAGUCUCAGUCUGAGGCCUUACUGUGAAGAAUCAAUGAUUGUUGAAUCGACAGUAUUUACAUGGUGUUGGGAAUAAGACUUGGAUAUCUAAUAUUGUUAACAUGUUGGUUAGCAUCACAGUGUUUCCAUAAGGUUACUUGCUGGAAUACCAAUUAGAGCUGUUUAAAGUUUAAAGUGUACCUGUUGCUGCCUUGUAUGGUAAAAUCUUCAAACAAUAACAUACAAACAAUCGG